AGCAGCCGCGGUAAUUCCAGCUCCAAUAGCGUAUAUUAAAGUUGUUGCAGUUAAAAAGCUCGUAGUUGAAUUUCGGGGUUCUACCGUUGGUCGGGCAAUAGUCUGUACUGGCGUGUAGAAUUUCUACCUUCUGGGGAACCAUCAUGUUAUUUAUUUAGCGUGGUGGGAAACCAGAACCUUUACCUUGAAAAAAUUAGAGUGUUCAAAGCAGGCUUACGUCUGAAUACAUUAGCAUGGAAUAAUAAAAUAGGACGGUGGUCCUGUUUUGUUGGUUUCUGAAUCACCGUAA
rnacentral:rRNA from 1 species